GUCGGCGUAGCUCAGAUGGUUAGAGCGUGGGACUCAUAAGCCCAAGGUCGGAAGUUCGAUUCUUCCCGCCGACA
rnacentral:tRNA from 1 species